rnacentral:rRNA from 1 species
UACGGGGGGAGCAAGCGUUGUUCGGAUUUACUGGGCGUAAAGGGCGCGUAGGCGGUCGUGACAAGUCACUUGUGAAAUCUCCGGGCUUAACUCGGAACGGUCAAGUGAUACUGUCGGACUAGAGUACAGAAGGGGCAACUGGAAUUCUCGGUGUAGCGGUGAAAUGCGUAGAUAUCGAGAGGAACACCUGCGGCGAAGGCGGGUUGCUGGGCUGAUACUGACGCUGAGGCACGAAAGUGUGGGGAUCAAACAGG